rfam:Monodelphis domestica chromosome 3, whole genome shotgun sequence.
CCGGCACCAAUGACGGUCUGCCUUCAAACCAGGCCUCUGGUGAGGCAGACCCGAUGACCCGGCGUG